rnacentral:rRNA from 1 species
UUGAUAGUCACCGGCGUAAAGAGUGGUUAAGACUACACUUAGCACUAAAGCCGAACGCCCUCAGAGCUGUUAUACGCAUCCGAAGGUAAGAAGCCCAACCACGAAAGUGGCUUUAUAACAUCUGAAUCCACGAAAGCUAUGACACAAACUGGGAUUAGAUACCCCACUAUGCCUAGCCGUAAACAUUGAUAGUAACCUACACCCACUAUCCGCCCGGGAACUACGAGCAUCAGCUUAAAACCCAAAGGACUUGGCGGUGCUUUAGAUCCACCUAGAGGAGCCUGUUCUAGAACCGAUUACCCCCGUUCAACCUCACCUUUCCUUGUCCCUCCCGCCUAUAUACCACCGUCGUCAGCUUACCCUGUGAAGGACUCAUAGUAAGCAAGAUUGGCAUAGCCCAAAACGUCAGGUCGAGGUGUAGCGUAUGGAAAGGGAAGAAAUGGGCUACAUUCCCUAACGCAGGGAACUACGAAUGAUACGCUGAAAUACGUAUCUGAAGGAGGAUUUAGCAGUAAGCAGAAAAAAGAGCGUUCCGCUGAAACCGGCCCUGAAGCGCGCACACACCGCCCGUCACUCUCCCCGAGCUCAUCAACCUUAAAUACCUAAGACCUAAAUACUGCAAAGG